UACGUAGGGGGCAAGCGUUGUCCGGAUUUAUUGGGCGUAAAGAGCGUGUAGGCGGUCAGGUAGGUCCGUUGUGAAAACUCGAGGCUCAACCUCGAGACGCCGAUGGAAACCAUCUGACUAGAGUCCGGAAGAGGAGAGUGGAAUUCCUGGUGUAGCGGUGAAAUGCGCAGAUAUCAGGAAGAACACCGGUGGCGAAGGCGGCUCGUCUGGGCCUUACCUGACGCUGAGGAGCGAAAGCGUGGGAGCGAACAGG
rnacentral:rRNA from 1 species